ACGCUCGACACCUACUGGAGGCAGCAGUGGGGAAUAUUGCACAAUGGGGGAAACCCUGAUGCAGCAACGCCGCGUGAAGGAAGACGGUUUUCGGAUUGUAAACUUCUGUUCUUAGUGAAGAUAGUGACGGUAGCUAAGGAGCAAGCCACGGCUAACUACGUGCCAGCAGCCGCGGUAAUCUGAGGCGGGCUGGCAAGGC
rnacentral:rRNA from 1 species